rnacentral:rRNA from 1 species
UGAGGAAUAUUGGACAAUGGGUGAGAGCCUGAUCCAGCCAUCCCGCGUGCAGGAAGACGGCCCUAUGGGUUGUAAACUGCUUUUAUACAGGAAUAAACCACCUUUCGUGAAGGGUGUUGAAGGUACUGUAUGAAUAAGCACCGGCUAACUCCGUGCCAGCAGCCGCGGUAAUACGGAGGGUGCAAGCGUUAUCCGGAUUUAUUGGGUUUAAAGGGUCCGCAGGCGGACUAGUAAGUCAGAGGUGAAAGCCGGCAGCUUAACUGUCGAACUGCCUUUGAAACUGCAAGUCUUGAGUGAAAUUGAAGUAGCUGGAAUGAGUAGUCUAGCGGUGAAAAUGCAUAGAUAUUACUCAGAACACCAAUAGCGAAGGCAGGUUACUAAAAUUUUAACUGACGCUGAGGGACGAAAAGCGUGGGGAGCGAACAGGAUUAGAUACCCUGGUAGUCCACGCCGUAAAACGAUGGAUACUGUCUGUUGGGUUUAAAAGAUUCAGUGGAUAAAGCGAAAGUGAUAAAGUAUCCCACCUGGGGAGUACGUUCGCAAGAAUGAAACUCAAAUGAAUUGACGGGGUCAUAGCUGUUUCCUG